rnacentral:tRNA from 1 species
GGGCCUGUAGCUCAGCUUCGGGAGAGCGCUACAAUCGCACUGUAGAGGUCAAGGGUUCAAAUCCCUUCAGGUCCA